AUCCCUACUCCUCCCACUGGCACUUGCCUCCCUGGGUCAAGGUACUUGCCUCUUCUCCUUUCUGGUUUUCCCUGGCUAAGCAGAGUGCUCCCUCCCAGCAAGGUUGUAGACCUGGCUUCCAGAGAGCUGAGCACAGAUAUUUGGAAGGGAGGAAUGCAGGAAAGUCCCUGGAUUUCUCUUAGAAACACUCUCUACCUUCCAUUUUCUGGCACAAUUCCUAGUUGAUGUGUGGGCUUCUCUUCACUAACAAGAAGGGCUCUUCCUAGGCCCAAAGACUCACAA
rnacentral:lncRNA from 1 species